GCUGGGUGCGGUGGUGUGCGCCUGUAAUUCCAGCAGCUCAGGAGGCUGAGACAGGAGGAUCUCAAGUUCAAAGCCAGCCUCAGCAAUAGUGAGGCACUAAGCAACUCAGUGAGAUCCUGUCUCUA
rnacentral:sRNA from 1 species